rnacentral:rRNA from 1 species
CCUACGGGUGGCAGCAGUCGAGAAUCAUUCACAAUGGGGGAAACCCUGAUGGUGCGACGCCGCGUGGGGGAAUGAAGGUCUUCGGAGUGUAAACCCCUGUCAGGUGGGAGCAAAUUAAAAAGAUAGUACCACAAGAGGAAGACACGGAUAAAUCUGUGCCAUCAGCCGCGGUAAUACGGCGGUCUCAAGCGUGGUUCGGAAUCACUGGGCGAAAAGCGUGCGUAGGCUGUUUCGUAAGUCGUGUGGGAAAGGCGCCGGCUCAAGGCGCGGACGGCACAUGAUACUGCGAGACGAGAGUUAGGGAGGGGGAACCGGAAGUCGCGGUGUAGCAGUGAAAUGCGUAGAUAUC